rnacentral:lncRNA from 1 species
GCGGUGUUUGGUUUUUUGUCCUUGCGAUAGUUUGUUGAGAAUGAUGGUUUCCAGCUUCAUUCAUGUCCCUACAAAGGACAUGAACUCAUCAUUUUUUAUGGCUGCAUAGUAUUCCAUGGUGUAUAUGUGCCAUGUUUUCUUAAUCCAGUCUGUCACUGUUGGACAUUUGGGUUGGUUCCAAGUCUUGUUCAUUGUAGAUUCUGGAUAUUAGCCCUUUGUCAGAUGAGUAGGUUGCAAAAAUUUUCUCCCAUUCUGUAGGUUGCCUGUUCACUCUGAUGGUGGUUUCUUUUGCUGUGCAGAAGCUCUUUAGUUUAAUUAGAUCUCAUUUGUCAAUUUUGGCUUUUGUUGCCAUUGCUUUUGGUGUUUAGACAUGAAGUCCUUGCCCAAAAUCUCCUUAAGCUGAUAAGCACUUCAGCAAAGUCUCAGGAUACAAAAUCAAUGUGCAAAAAUCACAAGCAUUCUUAUACACCAAUAACAGACAAACAAAGAGCCAAAUCAUGAGUGAACUCCCAUUCAUAAUUGCUUCAAAGAGAAUAAAAUACCUAGGAAUCCAACUUACAAGGGAUGUGAAAGACCUCUUCAAGGAGAGCUACAAACCACUGCUCAAUGAAAUAAAAGAGGAUACAAACAAAUGGAAGAACGUUCCAUGCUCGUGGGUAGGAAGAAUCAAUAUCGUGAAAAAGGCCAUACUGCCCAAGGUAAUUUAUAGAUUCAAUGCCAUCCCCAUCGAGCUACCAAUGACUUUCUUCACAGAAUUGGAAAAAACUACUUUAAAGUUCAUAUGGAACCAAAAAGGAGCCCACAUUGCCAAGUCAAUCCUAAGCCAAAAGAACAAAGCUGGAGGCAUCACGCUACCUGACUUCAAACUAUACUACAAGGCUACAGUAACCAAAACAGCAUGGUACUGGUACCAAAACAGAGAUAUAGACCAAUGGAACAGAACAGAGCCCUCAGAAAUAAUGCUGCAUAUCUACAAGUAUCUGAUCUUUGACAAAGCUGACAAAAACAAGCAAUGGGGAAAGGAUUCCCUAUUUACACUCUUGAAAUUUCAAUGAAUGCAAAGCUCUAUAGAUAUUGUUGCAAAUAUGCCAGGUAGUAUAUAUAUGCCAGCUAACGUUUGUUUCAUUUUUGCAUAUUUAUGAAGCCAAGUAUAUUAUCUGAUGCUAUAUUUGCUAAUUUAUUUGGAAAAAGGUGUUAAUAUAAAACUCUGUAAGCUAUGAUGUUAGGCAACAUGAUCUAGAAAAAAGAAUAUUGGAGUGGGAGGCCAGGGCCCUGCACUGAUCUUCCAUCUUUCUUUUACUGUGUGAACUUGGUUAAGUCACUUGUUGUGGUUCGUGUUUCUCAUUUGUAAAUCAAGGUAUUUCCAUUUCUGUUGUGACCAUCCAUAAUUCCAUUGUCAGUAUUCUGUGUAGUAAAAUUUGGAUUAUCUUCAAUAAUGGGGAGAAUUGUAGUUCAUACCAAUCUAAAGUGCUGAAGCUUUCAAACUGAUUCCUUUGAUUUUGGAUGCAGAUUUAUUUUGUUUUUCCUUAGAUACUAUUAAAGUGUUUUUUUUUUUUUUUUUUUUUUUUGGGACAGAGUCUCGCCCUGUCGCCCAGGCUGGAGUGCAGUUGCACUAUCUCGGUUCACUGCAAGCUCCGCCUCCCAGGUUCAUGCCAUUCUCCUGCCUCAGCCUCCCGAGUAGCUGGGACUAUAGGCGCCUGCCACCAUGCCCGGCUGAUUUUUUUUUUGUAUUUUUAGUAGAGAUGGGGUUUCACCAUGUUAGCCAGGAUGGUCUCGAUCUCCUGACCUCAUGAUCCGCCAGCCUCGGCCUCCCAAAGUGCUGGGUUUUCGUAUUUUUAUUGGAGACAGGGUUUCACCAUGUUGGCCAGGCUGGUCUCGAACUCUUGAGCUCAAGCAUUCCACCCGCCUUGGCCUCCCAAAGUGCUGGGAUUAGAGGCAUGAGCCACUGUGCCAAGCCUAUUAAAGUUAUUUUGUAUUCCACAUGUAUAUUUAACCAGGUUGUUUUGGAACAAGAAGGGGAAGAGUUUUUAUGAUGGAACUGUUUAUGUGGCAAGUAAUUAGCAGUUUUUAAAAUGUUUUGUGACUAACUCCACAAGGUUAGAAUUGACUGUAGAAAUAGCUGCUGAAAGAAUAUAGAGUAGAAAUUGAUUUUGCAAUAUUUUGAACCUGGGCUUCAAGUAGACUCUGGACUUUUUCAGUGAGAAGGAAGGGUUAAUGUGCAAAAUAUUUUGCUUUGAAGUUUUCUUUUCCCCUUUUUUUGUUUGAGAUGGGGUCUCACUCUGUCACCCAGGCUGUAGUACAGUGGUGUGAUCUCAGCUCACUGCAACCUCCGCCUCCUGGGUGCAAGUGAUUCUCCUGUCUCAGCCUGCUGAGAAACUGGGAUCACAGGCGCCUGCCACCAUGCCUGACUAAUUUUUUGUAUUUUUAAUAGAGAUGGGGUUUCAUCAUGUUGGCCAGGCUGGUGAAGCUUUCUUUAACAUGUCCCAUUCUAUAGCCCAGGAAAGCAUUACAGUCUCAAAAGAUGGUGGACAUCAAUGUUUAUUAAAACAUUGUUUUUAAAAGUUUACAAAGUAGAAUAUAUGUGAAAAGUGAAAGCUUUAGAAUUAAAUCCUUUCAUACCCAUUUCCGUGCAUAUAUAAACACACAGUUUUUACUUUGUUGGCUCACCUUGUACUUACUCUGCCAUUGCCAUCUUUUUGUCAGUAUAUAGAGAUCUUUUUCAUUUAAAAAAUAAUGGCAAAUAUGAAUCUGUGGAUAGUCUAAUAAUAAACCAGCUAUUUGCUGUUAAAACAGUGCCACAAAGAACAUCCUUUUUCUCCCAUCUUUACCCACUCCUGCAGAAAUUUCCAUAGAACGGAUUCCUGAAAGUCAAAUUUUUUGGGUCUGUGGAUGUCCAAGGGAUAUCUUUCAUAUUUGGCUGGAUUUCAAAAUUGCUUUUCAGAAAGCUUUAAUAGCUUACAGUCCUGUCAACAGUAACACCUACUUUUUUCAUGCCUAUUUUCUUGGGAUGAUGAUCUUAUAGCAGCCAUUUAUUGAGUGCCCACCAUGUGUUAGGAAUUGUGUCAGGUGCUUAACUUGGCUUUCUCUAAUCCUGAUAAUCCUGUAAGAUAUUAUUUUCAUCCCCAUUUACAGUUGAGGAAUUUGAGGGUCAGAGAGGUGAAAUAACUUGCUUAAGGCCGCAUAACUAGUAAAUGGUAACACACUGGGGUUUAAACCGCCACCUGUCUGAUUCCAAAGUCUGUGUUCCUCUUAAUCACAAACUGUUUCUAAUAUUGAGAGGACCAUCUGUAAAUAGGUGCAUAUAUACAAAUUGAGAAUGUACAUAUUUUCCUUCAAAUUAAGUAAUAUAGUCAGAUAAUACAUAGAAAGUUAAUAGUCCUUCAAAUCAGCCAUAGCCCAAACAAUAUAGAUAAUUCAGUUUAUUGACAAAGAUAUAUAUGAGAUAUAAUUUCUGACUCUGGCUUUAGAUGUUUAGGUUUUGGACUUUUCAAAUGAGUAUAAUCCUUAGUGGUUUCAAAUUUAACUUGAGGAACCAAUGAUUACAACUAACAAUAUACUGCUAGUCUACAAACCCAGUCUAGUUAAGGAUGCCAUAACAAAGUGCCACAGACCGAGUGGCUAAACAAAUUUAUUUUCUUAGAGUUCUGGAGGCUAGCAUUCCAAAAUCAGAAGUCAGCAGGGUUGCUUCCUUCUGAAGCCUCUUUCUUUGACUUGUAGAUGGCUGACAUCUCCCUGUGUCUUCACAUGGUUUUCUCUCUGUUCUCUUUGUCUAAAUUUCUUUCUUUUUUUUUUUUUUUGAGAUGGAGUCUGUCUCUUGUUGCCCAGGCUCGAGUGCAACGGCGCAAUCUCGGCUCACUGCAACCUCCCCCUGCUAGGUUCAAACGAUUUCUCCUGCCUCAGCCUCCCGAGUAGCUAGGAUUAUAGGCAUGCACCUCCACGCCCAGCUAAUUUUGUAUUUUUUUUUUUUUUUUUUUUUUUUUUUUUAGUAGAGAUGGGGUUUCUCCAUGUUGGUCAGGCUGGUCUCAAACUCUUGACCUCAGGUGAUCUGCCUGCCUCGGCGUCCCAAAGUGCUGGGAUUACAGACGUGAGCCACCGCGCCGGCCUAAAUUUCCUCUUACAAGGGCGCCAGUCAUAUUGGAUUAGGGCCACCCUAGUGACCUCAUUUUGAAUAGGAUCACCUCUUUAAAGUUCUGUCUCUAAAUAUAGUCACAUUGUGAGAGGUGAGGAUUAAAACAUGAAAUUUGGCAGGGUGCAAAGAACUCUACCAGUUCUUCCACUGUUUGCAUCAGUUUCAGUGUCCCUAUCAGUAAAAGAAGUCACAAGCCGUCUUGAAUAAUUGGAACCCUUCUGCCAGAUUGUCUAAUGUCAGUCUCUUUUUUUUGGAUGCUGCUUCUUCUAAGUCAUCUUCCUCAUUGUUUGGCAUUGGUUCAGAAUCCCUCAUCUCCAUCAAGUUCUCUUAAUUCCUCUGGUGUGUGUUGUCUUUUAGCUCUUACAUUUCUCUAAGAUCCAUAUCUUAAAACCCUUCACUCCCUACUUUUUUCACUUUUUUUUUUUUUUUUUUUUGGCCAUAUCCACAACCUCCAUGAUUUCCUUGAUAGGCUCUGUUUUAAAUCCUCUGAAGUUAUGCACGACAUCUGGACACAGUUUUCUCCAGCAGGAAUUUAUUGUUUUGGACUUGAUGCCUUUCACAGCUUUUUCCGUAACAGUGAUGGCAUCUUCAAUGGUGUAAUCUUUCCAGAUUUUCAUGAUGUUUUCUCUAUUAGGGUUCUUUUCCAUAGCAUCCAUAAUCCUUCCCAUAGAGCACUAUGUGUAAUGAGCCUUAAAGGUCCUUAUGACCUCCUGAUCUUCAGACUGAAUUAGAGUUAUCAUGUUUGGGGGCAGGUAAACCAACUCAAUGCCUUCAUUGUUGAACUUAUAGGCUUCUGGGUGGUCAGGGCAUUGUCCAAUAGUAAAAGAACUUUAAAAGGCAGUCCCUUACUGGCAAGGCACUUCCUGACUUCAGGGACAAAGCAUUGAUGGAUUCAAUCCAGAAAAAGGCUUCUUGUUCUCCAGGCCUUCUUAUACAACCAAAAGACUGGCAGCUGGUGUUUAUCUUUUCCCUUCAAGAUUUGGAGCAGGGGAGGGAGGUGGUGGCUAGCAGCUUCUUAGAUGAGGGCAGUCCUGAUCAUAAACCCUACUGCAUUUGUACAAAACAGUAGAGUUAGCCUGUCCCUUCCUGCCUUAUAUCCUGAUGCUUGCUUCUCUUUCUUACUAAAUGUCCUUUGCAGUCUUUUUUUCUUCCCCAGAAUAGGGCACUUUCAUCUGCAUUAAAAAUCUUUUCAGGCUCUGCGUGGUGGCUCACCUCUGUAAUCCCAGCACUUUGGGAGGCCGAGGUGGGCGGAUCACUUGAGGUCAGGAGUUCGAGACCAGUCUGGCCAACAUGGUGAAACCCCGUCUCUACUAAAAAUACAAAAAAAUUAGCCUCCCAGGUUCCAGUGAUUCUCCUGCCUCAGCCUCCCAGGUAGCUGGGACUACAGGCACACCCUACCACACCUGGCUAAUUUUUUGUAUUUUUAGCAGAGACAGGGUCUCACUGUGUUGCCCAGGCUGGUCUCAAACUCUUCAACUAAGGCAGUCUUCUCACCUUGGCCUCCCAAAGUGCUAGGAUUACAGGCGUGAGCCACUGCACUGGCCAAUUUUUGUAUUUUUAAUAGAGAUGGGCUUUCAUCACAUUGGCCAAACUGGUCUCGAACUGCUGGCCUCAAUCAGUCCACCCACCUUGGCCUCCCAAAGUGUUGGAAUUACAGGAGUGAGCCACCACACCUGGCCUUAAUUUUUUUUUGGAGACAGUUUCGCUCUGUUGCCCAGGCUAGAGUGCUGUGGCACAAUCUUGGCUCACUGCAACCUUUGUCUCCUGGUUUCAAGCAAUUCUCCUGCCUUUGAGACCAAGCUGGGCAACAUAGCAAGACCCCAUCUCUAUAAAAUAUUACAAAAAUUAGCUGGGCAUGGUGGCAUGCGCCUGUAGUCCCAGCUACUCGGGAGGCUGAGGUGGGAGGACUGCUUGGGCCUGGGAGGCAGAUGUUGCAGUGAGCCAAGAUUGUGCCUCUGCACUCCAGCCUGGGCAACAGAGCCAGACCCUAUCUGUGAGACUCCGUCUCAAAAAAAACAACAAAAAAAAAACCCUGCGGCUCCUUUAAGAACUAUGUUUAUGUGAUAUUCUAAGUCUUUUUUUAUGAUUUCGACAAUGUUCACAGAAUCUUCACUGGGGUAGAUGCCAUCUCAUGAAACCACUUUAUUUGGUCAUCUAUAAGAAGCAACUCCUUAAGGCUGGGUGUGGUGGCUCACACCUGUAAUCCCAGCAGGCGGAUUGCUUGAGCCCAGGACUUUGAGACUAGACUCAGCUAGCAUUUCUACUGUACUGGGUGGAACGGUGUCCCCCCGCCCCAAUUCAUGCCAAUCCAGAAACUCAGAAUGUGACCUUAUGUGGAAUUGGGGACCUUGCAGCUGCAGAUAGUUAAGAUGAGGGUGUAAUACUUAGAUUAGGGUGGACCCUAAUCCAAUGAUUGGUAUCCUUCUAAGAAGAGAAAGUGGGGGCCAGGCAUGGUCGCUCAUGCCUGUAAACCCAACACUUGGGAGACCAAGAUGGGUGGAUCACUUGGUUAUUGUUAUAACUGCUCUAGGAAAUGGAUAUGCCCAUCAAUGAGUUGGGGCGGCGGGGGGGGCGGGGGGUCACUCCUCUUCUCCCAGGGUGAAUGAGUGAUGGUGACAGUGGAAAGAGAUGUCCCCACGGUGACACCAGAGCAGGAAUCUCAGCCCAGGCCCCAAAUCAGAGAUUCUGAUUUAAUGGUUCAGUGAUAGAUCCAGGCCUGGGUAUUUUUUUUUUUAAAAACAAGUUUAUUGAGGUAUAAUUUGCAUACCAUAAAAUUCACCCAUCUUAAGUGUACCAUUGAAUGAUUUUUAAAUGUCCCAAGUUGUGCAACCAUUACUGUCAUCUGGUUUUGGAAAGGCUGCAGUGAGCCAUGAUUGUGCCACUGUGCUCCAGCCUGGGCGACAGAGUGAGACCCUGUCUCAAAAGAUAAACAAGUAAAUAAAAAUAAAAAAAGAAAAAAGAAACAUACAUACACGACUCUUAAAAUCCACACCCUUUCCCUCAUUUAUGUCUGCAGGGCGAUGGUCACUGUUGUUCUUGCCUCUCCUCUGAGUUCCGGUCUCAUUUAUCCAACAGACAUCUUGACAUCUCCACCUGGAUGUUUUGAAGGCAACUCAAGCCAGUGUGCCUGGGUCUGAACUCCUGACCUUCCUUCCCAAACCUGCUCCUCCUGCUGUGUUUGCCUUUGGAGUGACUGCCACUUCUAUCCAUUAUAAGUCAGAAAUCACCUCCUCCUCAAUCUCCUUCCCUGGCUUAAUCCAUUUCAAAUUCCUUGUGAUUGUCCUUCCUAAAUACCUGCCAAGGGCGGCCACCCCUCCAGUCACCUCUGACAACUGCAGUGGUACCCGACCCAGCUCCCUGUGCAGACCAGGGCACCGCCCACAUCCACGUUUCACGACAGGAGCCAGAGUGAGCUUUUCCAACUGCAGAUCUGAUUGAUUUCAUUCUAGUUUCACUGUCAGCAAUCAAUGCCAUAUGAAAAUAUUUCACAGAAAAAUCCAACCCCUCCCAUUAUAAAUUGCCAUGCAGGCUUCUUCUGGGUUGAUUUCUCAUCUAGUUAUAAGGGCCAAGCUGUCUUCUGGGUCUCUUUGGACUGAGUCUCUCAGGUUUGGGGUCUGACCUUGAGGGUGGGUGGGACAGAUGUCACUGAUGGUUGAUGCCUUAGUUUGGGUUGUCCCAGGUGCAGAUUCCGAGACAAGAAUUUGAGAGCAAGUAGUUUAUUUGAGAGGUGACCUCAGGAAGCUCUGGCAGGGCUUUAGGAAGCGCAACAGGAAAGGGAGGAGGCCAAUUCAGGGCGUAGUAUUCAGCCAGCUGGUGCAGAGGACAGCUGGAGAUCUUUAAAGUGUUCAAUGCCAUCCCAGGCUGCCCUCCAUGAGACAGGUGGCAGGCAAUGCCUAAAUCAAGGGGACAUAGUGCACGCUCUGCCAUGGGCAUCUCAGGCCUCUGCCCUCUGGGUUCCAGCCCCUCUCUAACCUGGUUCUCACUUCUCCCUGUCCACUCUAUCCACCAAAGCCGCCUUCUCGCUCCCACUAAGUACGUUCUUGGCUCUGGCUUUGUUCCCACCCCACCCCUCUUCCCUCCUUUCUUUUCAAUGUCCUGCUCAUGCUCGGAGGCCUGACUCCAACACCACCCCCCCCACCCCACCUGAGUCCCCGACCACCCCCUGCAACACACUCCCAGUGGGAGCUGAGGGCUUCCUGCUGGGGCCACCCCCACUCCAGGAUUAUUUCAUGCUGGUGCUCUGCUAUUGACUGUUGACAGGUGGGUCCCCCACCAGCCCCGGUGCUUUGUGGGAACAGAGUCCUGGCCCUCUCUGAGCCUGGCCUGGUGCUGUCUCAGAAGAGCCCAUGGUCUGUGCUGAGCCAGUGCAAGAGCAGAGUGGACCGCAGCUUCCUCCUCCACGGCACUCCCGAAGCCCCUCGGGGAGCAAGGCGACCUCCAAGGAGAAACGGUGUCUGGGCGACCCUGAGAGCCUGAGAUGUGGCCUGGGGGUUACCAUGGACGGAAGGGAAGUAGGGGGGUCAGGACGACUCACGCUCUGGUCCUUGUCACUAAAAGUCAGAGCAGCUGAAACUCACCAAGCAUCACUCACAUCAGACACUGGUCUAAGCACCUUACAUGCAUUCUCUAUAUUUUUAUUUAACAAAUACUUACAUCGAGCUUGCCGUGUGGAGGCACUGCUCUAGUUGAUUUACAAAACGAAACAAGAAGCGUCGAAAACACAUCGAAUCAACAAAACACCAUCGUGAAUUCUCGCAACUGCCCUGUGUGGGAGGCACUGCCGCUACCUCCAUCUGCAGAGGGGUAGGGGAGCCUGGGAGCUGGUGGGCGGAGGGCCGGGUGGGGUGGAACUGGCAUCUGCCUCCAGGGCUGGGCUCCUCCCAUUGCUGAUGCCUGGGUUUCACUGUGCUCGUAAAAGCCACGGGUCAAUUAUGCUUAUUACCUGUUCUGCAGGUGAGAAAACGAGGCACACAGGGGUGAGCAAUUCGCUCAGCUUGAAAGUGGUAGAACCAGGACCCAGCCCAGGCCAUGGCUCGGGACCCACUCUGUAAUCACUCACUGGGGGCCCCGCAGUAAUGAGCUCUUUGAAGAAAGGUGAGUCACUGACCUUGGCUGUGCCUCAGUUUCUUCAUUUGCCAAGUGGGGCUCUGCUGCCCCUGCCUCUGCCCUGCUGACUUGCAAGAAGAGUGAACGAAUGGAAUUGGAUGAAGGCUUCCGGAAACUUCCAUCAGGAAAGCGCCCUGGCCUGGGAGAAAGCCGGUCCUGGCCGGCUUUGCCUGCAAUGCCCUCAGUGGCCAGUCACGUCCCCUCCUUGGCCUGCAGGUUCCUCACUGGAGCGGGGGUGGCCCGAGAUGAACCCUCAGAUGCACCAAGCCCCACACCUUGAUUGUCCAGCUCUGUCCUGAUGGACAGGGGAGCUGCCUGCGGUGACUGUCCAGGAACUGGGUGUCUGGAGACGGGCAGACCCAACCAUUUGAGGCUCGUUCUAGGAAGUGUGUUCAGUGUGGCCAAGCUUGGUGACUCUGGGGCUUCUGGAAUGGUUCCCAUGCCAGAGAAUUACAAAAAGAUCCUUUGUACUGAGAAGAGAAAGUACAACUUAUUCUCUUAGGGACACCUUCCUGGAGGGACACCAGACAAGAAGUCCAGGCCCUGGAAUCAGAUGCCCUGGGCCAGGCAGCUUCUGUCUCCCCGAGUUCUCUGCGGAGGCAGCACUCUCAGAAGAUUCCACGGUUUAAUCACACUCCAGCUCUUUUCAGAGCACCUUCUACGUGCCAGGCAUGCUCUAGGCACCAGCGAUGCAACUGUGGAUGAAAAAGACCAAGGCCCUGUUCUCGGGGAGCUGGCGGGGUGGGAGGGGCAGUGAAAAACAAGUACAGCCUGCCCCCGCAAGUACAGUCACAUAGACAUAUGUGUGUAUGUGUGCACAUAUACUUGAAAUAUCAAGUGGCUGGAGGGUUUACUUUAGACUGGGGGAUGUGGAAGUCCUCUCUGAGAUGCGCCCCCUUUGAUCAGAGGCCUGAAGGAAUUAAAUGAGUCUUCCAUGUGCACAUCCAGGGGAGGAAGUUUCCAGGCAGAUGGACCCGCAUGUGCAAAGGCCCUGUGGUGGAGUGUGCUGGGGGUGUUCUAGGAGGGUCAGCAUGGAGGGAACAAGGAGAAGAGCUCGAGCUGAGGUUAUGGAGGGCCUCAUGGGUCAUGGCAAAGACAUCUGGGUCAUAUUCUGAGAUAGAUGGGGUGGGGUUUGGCACAGAGGACUUUAUGUAUUUUGCCUUAAUAUUUUAAAAGGAUCCCUCUGGCUGCCUGUGAGCAUGGAUUGUGCAGGAUCAAUGCAGGGAGUCGAUGUAGGGAGACCAGCAAGGAGGUGAUUGCCACAGUCAAGAAGGGAUGAUGGACGCCCAGGCCUCCGUAUUCGGAGCGGUGUGGCCAGGCGAUAGCAUGGUAGCCAUCAUCACAAGCUAAAGCCAGCAGGUUUGGUAGAUGGUUGGGAUAUGGAGGAAUAAGAGAAAGAGAAGGGUUAUGCUGACUCUAAGAUUUGGCCUAAUCGCCAGAAGGUUGUAGGUGCCUUUUUUUUUUUUUUUUUAAAUGGGAGUGACCGGCUUGGAGGGAAGAUAAGGGGCAUCAGAAACCUGCACAAACCUGCAGGAGUGUGCACUGUGUGACCCUGAUGCCCAAAGGUGACCCUGGGGCCAAGCAGUGUCUCCACCCUUAGUCUCUGGGGCCCCUGCCCACCUGCAGAAGGGACCCUAAACACUAACCUUUGAUUUAAAUCCAAAACAUUCUUCCCUAACGUAAAGUUGCCCAGGGCAGUAUUGGUUUCUCUUUUAAAGACGCCACCUGGAUUCUAUUCUAAUGGUGGGGGUGCAUAUCUAGAAAGGAUGGGCAGCCCCUGCGGGGAAAGAAUGAAUGGGGCCAGGUGCAGUGGCUCACACCUGUAAUCCCAGCACUUUGGGAGGCCGAGGUGGGUGGAUCACUUGAGGUCAAGAGUGAGGUGACAUUUGAGCUGAGGCCUCACCAAUCAGAAGGAAAAAGCUGUAAAGGGUCUGGGAUUAACUCAACCUGGGGACUUUUAAAAUAAUGUAAGGUGUUACAGCUCUUUUAGAAUUUGUCUAGCACGUUUUCCGGUUGUCGGGUGUGCUGGGGUUCUUUGCUGCCCCUCCUCCCAGCCCACAGCCUCUUGAACUCCACGGAGACCACCCCCAUGUGAGGCUGGGAAGGGAAACCUGCCUUUGUAAGUGGAAUCAGGUGAAAUCGGGCUGUGACUGUGUCAGUCAGAAACUAAAAGGCCCUGUCACACCCGUGGCCAGGAAGACUGUCACCAUGGUGGCAUGGAAAUGACAGAGACGUGUGGGACAGCGUCUGCCAAGAGACGAGCCAGGUGAGGGCAGGUCGUCAUGAAGGAGGGAGGUGGGGUCCUCCCCACAGAGCAGCGCCAUCCCACAGAGAAACAGCCUCUGGGGAGGGACGCGUUCCAAGGAGGCCCCGUGCAGUGCAGAGUGGGUGGCUCGAGGCCUGAAUGCCGGGCACUCGGAGCGGUCAGUGUCCCCGUGGGAGCAGGGCUGCUCGCAGCCAGGUGAUUGGCGACCUUGGAUGGUCAGCCCCUGUGUGCGUGUGAGGGGGUGGCCCUCUCCUCUGUCUCUUCUGAAGGCAGCAGUAAAGGAGGGAGGCCAAAGAGCUCAGUGUCAGACGAGCCUGGGUGCAGGUCCCACUGCCUGCCAGGCCAGUGCCUCUGAGCCUCAGUUUCCUCAUCUGUAUAGUGGGGUUAAUCCCAACCAUGUAUACUGUCUGCCUGCCAUGUGCCAAGCCCUUCUAACACAUCUUUGAUUGCCUGAGGGCAGGGACUUUAUUAUCCACCUUUAGAGUUGAGAAAGAAGAGGCACAGAAAGGUUAAACCACUUACCGGGGGUCACACAGCUGCUAUGGCAGAGUAAAGACUCCAGACUCAAAUGGAGCACUAAGCCCCGCCCUGGGCGCCAACAGGUGCUCCAGGAAUGUCAGGUGCCAUUUAUCACCCUCAUCACCUACUGGGAGCGCUCGUCCCAUCAUGCAAACCCCGUGAGCGUGAAGUGAGGGGACACGUGCAGGAUCGAGUGUACUGGCGGGUAAUGAAAGUAAAGUAAUAACCACAGGAUGAUAUUCACAACCCACAGUAGUGCUAUCAACAGCCGCAUCUGCCUGCUUCUCUGGGCCCAGGAUUGCCUGCAAACUCCCAGGAACUGGUCCUAGGUGGGUCAGAAGAAGGGUCUGACGUUAUGGGAAGGAGCAGCUUGCCCAGCUCAUGGCCUGUACUGUGCAUUGGGAGUCCCUGCCCCCAACAGCUGUCCUCCAGGGCCUGCUCCCAGGUGGGCUCAAGAGGCCACAGAGCUAAGCAGCUUUAGGCCAGGGUUCUGCGGGUUACUGUGUGCCUGUGGGAGUGACACCCCCACCCCCAACCUUCCUGCCCUGCCAGCUGCUGGACACACAGCAGCUACAGGGCAUGAACCCUGAGACCAGGACCUCUGUGGGUCCCAUGGCACAGAGCCCCCUCCUCCCUGCCCGACUGAGAAGGAGGAGGCGCGCCUCAGGGUGAAUCCUGCCCCCCCUCCCCCGCUCACUGCAGGAUAAACGGCCUCUAGAUCGAACACCUCACAACAGGAUGUGUCUUAGCGUGGUUUAUCAAAUCACAGGCUGUGAUGCAUUAGUGGGUCUUGAAAUCAAUUUAGAGUGUCAAGCCCGGCAUUGAAAAUCUGCAAUAGAACCAGAAUAGACUAGGUCAGGAGGCAUCAGAGCGCGUUGUGUGCAGCGAGGGUGAGUGUCGUUUGGGUAAACGUGCUGCGUAUCUGUAUAAAUGGAUGUGCUUGUGUGUGGUGGGUGGCAGUUUGCAAUGUGUUUUUAGGUGGGUUGCACUAAAAACGUUAGAGAAUCUCUGUCUCACCGCCUUACGGUAACACAAAGGGGAAUCACCUAGUAGUGAUCAUUUUCCUCAGAACCUUACAUUUCCCUGAUUUGAGACCGUUUAUAAGACUGAGAAACAGGUCUAAGCUGGUGCCAAGAGUUUUGGUUACGUCAGGGAUAAGGCUGUGGCUCUCUCAUCCCACAGUCCAUGCUGAGGGCUGGAGGGGAAUUGAACUGCAGGAUGAAGUGAUGAACAUGCAAGAAAUGAGACCGGGAAUGGGAGAGGCUUGCAAGGCAAACAGAGAUGGGGAGAGGAAGGGACGUGGGUAGGGGUGGGUGACUGUGAGGGAGAGAAAGGGGGUGAGGGGUUAUUUAUGAAGCUCUAGGAGCUGCCUUCCUAGAGUCCGUGCCACCUGGACUCAAACACUCAUUGUCCAUUCAAUGACCCCUUGGAGCUUAAGAGCUCUGUUAGGAUCUGAAAUGUGUCCAGCAGAUCUUCGGAGCCAUUGAAUUUUCAUCCCAUGUGGGAUCUGGACACAUAUGCAUGCAAACUAACAUCCUUACACAUAUGCACACACAGAUACACAUGCCCCCACAUACUCAUGCAUCCACGUGCUCACACACAGAUACACUCACACAUAUACAUUCAUGCACAUGCAUGCAUACAAUGCCCACACAUAUAUGCACACUGAUACACACUCACAGACACACUCAUAUGCACACACACACAUAGACACACUUAUAUGUACGCUCACACACAUGCUCACUCCUACAUGCACUCUCCCACACCCACACAUGCCCACGCACUCACAGACACAGUGAGUCAGGUGUAUUUAAUACGCAGUUCGUGCCUAUGCCUCCCCCAGAUCCCCAUGUGACCUGCUCGUUAGAGGAGGCCCGGAGUCCUUGGGGGAGCCCUGGUGUCCCGCCACCUGAUCUCCAUGACAACCCAUCCCGACACCGGUUUGUGAGUGUGAAAGCUUCAGGGCCCACAGGACCUCCCACGUUAAUUCAUGGAGAUCAGCUGUUCACUACUCAAUGCUCCCAAGUUAUGUGAGGCAGCGAGGCACAAAAUUGGCAUCUGCUGUGGUGUGUGUGUGUGUGUGUGUGUGUGUGUGUGUGUGUGUGUGUAUGUGGUGAGCUUGGUGCACAGGUAGGAUGAGGUUUGGGGCAAAAGGGCAUGAACGAUACAGCCAAUAGUAAUUGGGUUACAGUUGUUGAUUGCUUUCAAAGGACUUAACAUAGAAUAUUCAUCCCAAAGAUAUAUUACAUCUGGUGAAUUCUAGAGCAUCUCACAGAUAGAAUGGGGGUAAAAGGAGAAACAACACACUUGCAAAUUUGAUGAAAUUUCCCACAUGGUCCUGAAAUCGCUGGUGGAAUGGGGGAUUGCAGUCCGGGUAUGAGGCAUUCGAGAGAAUCUGAAUGUGUCUCCCAAAGUGCUCCCCAGGGACUAGCACUGAUCAGGCCGUGGAAAGCCCAAGGUCCCACAUGACAGGUUCUGGGCUCUGCCUUCCUUGAACACAGGGGUGGAGGGGCUGGGGAGAGAGGCAGAGUCUGAGAAUGGCUGGAGAAAAUGGUCGGAUUCGGUUCUUUUAUCUGUAGCAGGGACUCAAACCCAGGGUGUCCUGGCUGCUGGAAGGUUGAACAAUGCUGAGCCGUAUUUCCACACAUGGCUUCACUGGCUGAAGCAGGGCUGUCCUGUGGCUGAGAACCCCUCUUCCAGCCCUGCAUGGGUCCCCUGACCCCCAGGCCUGCAGGCAUUCACAUACCCCCCUGCAAAGCCCCCAACCCUCCUUGGGCAAGGACAGGCACAGCUUCAGGACAUUGUCCUCCUGCCCUAUGUGGGCAGAGUUGAGCCCCCAGAGCAGAGAGGGAGGCUCCCCAAUACCCAUCUCCCCGAUAAUGGCCAAUGCGCCUCAAAGGGUCACUUCCAAAGAAUGCCAGGUGGCAGGCACCAGGUUUUGGCAUCUGAUACGCUCCCAUCCACUCCCUGGGGACCUAAGCAAUCAUCCUUUAUAAUCUCUGACGGGGAACAACUGGCCGUUGUCCUUUAAUUAGCAGGGGACACACUAAGCUAUGGUCUCCUGCAGGCUCCAUAAACAUCCGUGAAAUCAGCCUGGUGACUCCAAGCUCGGUGCAGACUGCGGGGGCCCACAGAGGCCAAGGGGAGCCCCCGCCCCCGGUCUGGCUCUGAGAACAGCCUCCAGGAGAAACUGCCAAGCCACCCGGACUCAUGGCAGCUGCUUAAACUGGCAAGUUCUUUCUUGCAAAUUGAGAUCCAGGCUGCGAUCUGGGCUGGCUCUGCACAUUCCAGCCACCUGUUUUACCUGCUGGUUGGAGCUGCCUUGGUACCUCUGAGGGCUGCUUGUGUGUGGGUGGGGGCUGCUUUUGAACACAUGGCUGCCCCGUGGGCCGCGCCUUCUCCACUUCUUCUGGCCUUAUAAAAUGAUGGUUAUUGCAGGGAGGAUGCAGGGCCAAGCAUCCUCUUAUGUAGCGCCGUGAGAUGUGGGGUGUCCAGUGUCCCAGGAGAAAUUCAAGCCUCAUUUCCCUCUGAGACACUGGGAUGGGGCCACGUGCAGCGUCUUAGUGCCUGGAUCCCAAGUGUGUCGUCUGAGUCUGUGCAUGAGGGGCCAGGGCCAGGCCUUAGGCUGUGUAGGACGGAAUUGAAGCAUGUUUGAUGGGAGGGCCCAGGUCACACCCACCAGGGGCCAGGAGUGCACAGAUGUAGAUGCCAAUGCCAGCCCAAGUCACCCAAAAUGGCGAAAGUGAGCUGCUGGGAAACCUUCGGGCCAGAGGCUGAUGACGUGGAAUCCUGGAGGGGACUGCCUGCUGCUCAGGGUAGAAGGGGACAUUCUGAUGCGGCACCCGUGACAGCCCUCCAGUGUUCCCGCCACCCAGACCCACUGUCCCUGGAGACCUGCAGAGGGAACCACUGCUGACGAGAAAGUGUCUCCGUCACUUGCUUUGUUUCCCCUUGGUCACUGCAAACACAUGCUCACAGCCCUCGGGUGACAAGCCUCUUUCCGCCCCCUUCUGAUGCCCCUGCUCUAUGGGUGUUGUCACUGCUCCUGGCUUGCAGUGUCCUGUGUGGCUAUGACAACCUGGGUUCCUCUCAGGGCCGGUGUCCCUCCUGCAGAAAGCUCACCCUGUCUCCUGGGCCCUGGCCCUGCUCCUGGACAGAGGAGGGAAGGACUGGGGUGGUGGCUGAUGGAUUCUCAUGUCACCUCUUUCCCAUAUUCCCCUGGGCUCUUCCUUCAGAGCCUCCACCCUGCACCCUGAUGACUCACUGUGUCUCAUGUAGGAAGCCCCCGGUGACAUCUCAUGCCCUGUACACAGGUCCCUACAGCCCGGGCCCCUCCUUAGCUCUGCUGCCUCUGGGGGAAACCCCACUUUCAGCCCUCCCCCUACUCCUUACAUCUGGCAGGGAUUGCAGGGGGCUUGUUGGAGGGAAGCCACAUAUGAGACUCACACGAUGCACCAACGCCCACUGUGCAGACCGCACCCCAUCUAUUUUCUUCCGUCCCUUCUGCAGUCAACACAGCCCUGGCUCUGCAUUCGGCCCUCUCUUCACGGGGCUGUGUCUGGGCAGAUGGGGCUGGAAAACAACUCGCUGGGCCCAGCUGGGGUGUGUUGUGAAUGUCACAGCCCGGCCUGUGCAACAGGAGGCUCCAGGAUCCCUUUAGGGGUAGGGUAGGGGGCGGGAGAGUGCAGAUUAAAUGGGAUGGGCAGGGGCAGGAAGGCAGCAGGGGUGAUUAAUUUUUCUAGAAUCGUUGCCAGGCUACCUUUCAAUUCCUUGUCUGUGGCCCAGGCCAAGGAAAGCGAAUGUUCUGCUGCCAACCUGGCGCUGAAAUUGGGCUAGGCAAGCCUGGCAAGGAUGGGGCCGAGGUAAAGGUCUGGUUGAGAAGAAGGCUUAGAGGACCUGAUUAACGUUUGGUUAAGGAGAGAGUCUUUGUCAAAGGCUGAAUGCAAGGUUUCUUUGUCUCGAACUAGUUCUUUAGGUUUUCAAGUGCAUCAUUAUUAAUAUUUUAGGUCGACAUUCCAGUAAGACUUGUCUUUUAUUGGGUUUCUGCUUGUGGUUUAUUUUCUUUGUUAUGUGUUGGGUUGGGGCUCUUCGUAAGCAACAGGAACUGACUCAGGCUGCAGAGUAAAGCAGUUUCAACUGCAUUUGAUGUUUUGGUCACCCUACCUAAGAUGCAGCUUCUAAGAGGAGAGCACAGAUUGGCCAGUACGGGACUUGUCACCUUGAUUGGCAGGUCCUCCAGACUGUAUCCAAGGCGGCAAGCUUUGUUCCCCCAAAGAGAAUUGGGAUGCUGUUACUGGAGAAACAGAAACAACUGAGGAAACAGUGGUUCUCAACCCUACCAGACUAACUCAACAGCCACCUUUAUGACAAAUAUUGUAUAAAGCCUCCUUACACUUCUGAAAUGAAAUUCAUAAACAAUAUGACCUACCUAUAUACAAAAUUGAAGAAAUCAGACUAUUGUCCUCGCUAUAAUGUCAAGGAGAAAUAAAAAGGAAUCUAACUUGUAGAAUAUUGCUUAUAAUAACAAUAACAAAACAAUAGAAUUGCACAAAAUUAAUGCAUAUAUGUGCUUGGGGACAGAUGUGCUACAAGGCAUAAAAUACGAGUGAAAUAUUUGCUUCUACCAUUGAUGAAUAUGUCUGGACUUAAAAAUGCAAGAUAACCAAAAGUCAUCCUGUCUAAGAAGUACAGAAAAUUAAAAGGCAGAGGAGGAGUGAAGAAAACACAUUUAAUGUGCAUUAAAAGAUGCAUCAAAUGCUUUGUGUUCCUAUGGAGUUAGAUUUGAGGCUCAUUUAUUAUAAAUAGAGUUUUUGUCUGCGGGAAUAUCCAGAAAGACAUUUAAAAGUCAUGGAGGAUGCAAGAUAAUUAUUUGUUGUGUGGGAUUGUUUUGCAUGCGAUGGUAGUGAUAGCGUCCUGUGCUCCUGUCUACUAAAUGCCAGGAGCCCUCGUAAGGAAAAUAUGGGGAAAAUUUUGAAGUUUAGUGUGUGUCUUGACUAGCUCAUCAACCCAGGUGAUCUUUGUCUUCAUUGUCUCUAACUAGACUAUUUUCUAGUUCUUUAUAGAUACAAGUCUAUUUGUAGCAAAUUCAGAGCAAUGCAAUUCCUGUCCAUAGAGAUGUACAUUAUGUCUAGUCGGGUUCAAUGCACUCCCUUCCUCCAUUAUGAAAUAAGCCCGUUUUGCAUCUACUAAUCAAAUGCAUUUCAGCAUUCCUAAUAGCCUAUAAAUGUGUCUGCUCUUUGAAUUUCCUUUUGAAUUGGUUUUAAAACCUUUCUACUUCCCUCAUCCAUUACUGAGUUAAAUAAAACUGUUGACACAUAUUCUUUUAAUAUUUGUUUGAGAGUCAUGAUUUUAUCUUUAAAAAUUAGGCUUUGAUAAUUUCAAUCAUUGUGGAACCAAAAAUUAUACUGAAUUUAUUUUCUCUUCUGUGUAUCGUGUGACCUGGUAGUUGAGGGUUUGAAACUGGAAGCUCAAGAUGGGCACCUGCAGAUCACACUUGACCGGACACUCUUCAACACUUUUAUGAAAGGGAAUUACAUUUUGUAUAAUUCUAAUCUUCUCAGCCAUGGUUGUUUCUUUGUUGUGGGGUAUUUUUAAGCAUCAAAAGGAAGAAGAAGGAAAAAAUCCAGAGACCACCCCCAAGCCUGAAAUCCUGUUAAACCUCACACAAAACCAAAGCCAACAGACCUUGACAGAAUAAGCUCAUAAACGAACAGAGCACAGUCUUAGGGGUGAGAUCCUGUGCGGUCCUUCAUAAGCUCAAUUCCUCCCAUCUGGACAACGGGGGACAGAGCAGGUUUCCUAUUUUCCAGGUAUUCUGGUUGGCUACUUGCCACGGAAAGAACCAUUCUUUGAUCUUUGGGUUUAGUUCUUGCUAAUAGAUCAGGGGGUCACGGUAGGGAGGAUGAGAUCUCUUUCCUAAAAUACUUAUACCCUGAUCAAUGUAGGACAUAUUUCCAAUACUGAGAUGUUUACACCUCUGCAAUGCUCUGUCCCUGGGAGCCAAAUGACAUACUUUCCCUCCCUGUGAUGAAUUCAGGUUUCUUCUCCAAUGUCCUCUCUCUCAGGAGGCCUUCCUGACCACCUGUCUAAAGUAACUCCUUGGCCAGGUGCAGUGGCUCAUGCCUGGAAUCCCAGCAAUUUCGGAGGCUGAGGUGGGUGGAUCACUAGAGGUCAGGAGUUCAAGACCAGCCUGGCCAACAUGGUGAAACCCCGUCUCUACUAAAAAUACAAGAAUUAGCCAGGCGUGGUGGCGGGCACCUGACGCCACUGCUCUCCAGCCUGGGCAACAUAGUGAGAAUCCAUCUCAAAAUAAAUAGGCAAGUAAGUAAGUAGAUAAAUAAAUAACUCCUCCAUCCCUCUUGAUCCUAUUAUCCCACCUUAUUUUUUUCAUAGCACUUUUCAUUUGACGUUGCAGGUGCUUCUC